AUCGCUUCUCGGUCUUUUGGCUAAGAUCAAAAUGUAGUAUCUGUUCUUAUCAGCUUAAUCUCUGGUAAGGUCUCCUUAGGGGACCCAGAAGAUUAAACUGAUUUUUGAAAAAAUGAGGGAGUGCUAGGGACUUGCUCCACCUCUGUCGCGGGUUGGAGCCGGUAUUGCAGUACCUCCGGGGAACGGCCCACUUUUA
rnacentral:snRNA from 1 species